UACGGGGGAUGCGAGCGUUAUCCGGAUUUAUUGGGUUUAAAGGGUGCGUAGGUGGUCUUUUAAGUCAGCGGUGAAAGUUUGUGGCUUAACCAUAAAAUUGCCAUUGAUACUGGGAGACUUGAGUGUGUUUGAGGUAGGCGGAAUGCGUAGUGUAGCGGUGAAAUGCAUAGAUAUUACGCAGAACUCCGAUUGCGAAGGCAGCUUACUAAACCAUAACUGACACUGAAGCACGAAAGCGUGGGUAUCAAACA
rnacentral:rRNA from 1 species